UUGCUUUAUUUAAUCAUAGACUUAGACAUAUGACACGAUUUAUUCAGAGUUUUGGGGUUGGCUAUCGGCGGACACUGGCGAGAGGACGCCUCGCGGCGGUCCUCCGGCGGCCGUGAGACGGGCCCGCCGAAGCAACAGAGGUUCAAUAAACAAAGGGUUGGGAGGUCGGGCCUAGAAGACCCUAACUCUUUAAUGAUCCUUCCGCAGGUUCACCUACGGAAA
rnacentral:misc_RNA from 1 species